AUUGUCUAUUUUGAUACUUGAUGGUACGCGAAUCUGAAAAAAGAUAUAAUUGCUAUCCUAAAGGAGACAAUAGGCACAUGCAAAUGGAUUAAUUUACAUAAGUCUGAAAAGGAUCUAUAGUAUAAAAAGCACACGAUACUCAAAAAUGGAGUUCCUCUCACUGUCUAGCUAAUGUCUAUUAGUUAUUACUUGCUAUAUAAGUGCCGAGUACAUGGACUGCAGUAUUAUUUAUAAUUUGAUUUAGGCAAGAGAAGAAAAUUUUAUGUUGUCGCUGCACAUAUCACAUGUGGGAGCGAGCUAAAAACAUAUGUUUGGUUGAAAUAUCCUAUAGCCGGGCUAUAGGAUGCGUCAGGGACUAUAUAACUUCUUUUUGAUUCACAAAACCUAUAGACCCUAGUAGGUACGACUUUGAAUUCCUUUAAUCAGCAGGAGGGAGGUCAGAGAAGUGACUAGUAGUGGGGUGUUGGAAAGACAUUCAUGGUCAUUUGGAUGGAUCUCUUAUACAGUACAAUCUUAUAUAUGGAUCUGCAUCCCUGUUCCUAGGAAUAUCUCAUUCACACGCCUGCUGAUACUCUCUUUGAAGGAUCUUGACUCUUAAGGCGAGAUCCCCUGAACAAGUGCUUCACUCGGUGGAUUUCGUCUCUAAUAAAAUGAUCGUUGAUUGAAAAGUGCCUCUUCAUGUCAAAGUCUGUGAUAGUUACUUCAGAUCUUGUUAAUCAUUGUCCCUAUACAUAAAUUCCUCCAGAUCUUUACAGAAAGACCUAGUGAGGAAUAGAGAGAGCUCUUAUCCUCCAUCCACAGCUCCUUUGGAAUUCAACUUUGCAUCGUCUCCUACUGUAGGAAAACUAUUUCAUUAAUUAAAGUCGUUCAGUGUCCUUAAUGUAUUGUAUGUCAAUAUAUUUAUUCUGUAUAUAAUGCAGAAAUCACUCAUCGCAAUCAGAUUUAUAUCAAUUCCCUGUAUAAGUUGGACUUAGUGAUCUACGAUCUAUAUAACCUGGACACUUCUCUUUUGUCAUUGAAAAACAAGUGCAAGAUGAUUCUUCACUCGUAAAGAUGUAUCUGGAUGUAUCAAAGUAUACUCUAUUCUGAUAUUACAUAUAAAUAGUUAUUUGUAAUUGGAAAGUUCCACAAAAAUAAAUAAUUCCCGAAUGAAAUACCCAGUGAUGAACAAAGAGUGAUCGUUUCUCAUCACAGCUUCUUCUUUGAUAAGCAUGUUCCUUCCAAAGUCGACUUUUUUUCGUCUCUUAUUCUGAGAAAAAUAUUUUAUUGUUAAGAAUAAUUCAGUUUCAAAUUUUCAUUAUGCUACUAUUAGCCUCAUUUAUGAGAUUUUUGCUAAAUAUAUUUAAAUCCAACUUGAGCAAUAUAAUAAGCAAAAUGGUGUUGCUUUUUACACUUCAACAAAAUUAAAAGAUCUCCCGUUUCUAAUAAAUUGACAAAUGGCUUUGUAAAGCAUCGUCAUGGAUUUGUCGACGUCAAUAAAAUGUGUAAAUUUUUGGUCUCUGAGAAUAUCAUAUUGCCAGAAAAUUCAACACCAUGAAUUAUUGAUUGCUCAAAAAUCAAAAAGGUUGUGCAUUUGCAAUCUUUAAUUUUGAAAACUUAAUGAUGGAAGAGGCUAUGUAUCCGGAUAUAUAAUACAAUAUAUUGGCUCGAAAUUCUUCCAUAGUAAAAUUAGAAUUGGAAAAACUGAAAAUAAAUAUAUGUUUUCGGAAAAAUUGGAUCAGUGCUUACAAAUUAUAUAAUGUUUUAUUUUCACAUUCUUGCUUAUUAUUUGAUUUUCAUAUAAUAUUCUUAAGUUUCUAGUAUAAAUUUAUUUAUUAAAAAUAGAUACGUAAUAUUAAAAUAACGAUACAUGUUAUCUUAAUUAAAAUAAAUGUAUUGAAAAAUGUUCAUAAAUGACUUAAUAUAUCCCUUCAAUGCUACGAUAUAAGUAUAACUGAAGGAAUAUUAUAACUACUAGAAAGGAAUAAAGAAUGUCGUGCUCACACAAUGAGGCUGACUCUCUCUUUUCCUGUGACUACAAAAAUGAGAAAUGACUAGUAUGAUGUAUGGACAUUGAUUGAUAAAUUUAUCUGACUCGCAUCCAUUGCUCACAAUCUUAAAUUAAUAAAUUUCUUAACUUAUCCUAAAUUAUAUUUAUCCCUUAACUUACUAAUUUCAUUUUAUAUCGAGACAAAUUAAAACUAAAUUUAUAUGCUAAAAGAAUAUCGAAAGCAAUAUAUUUUUUUACAUUAGUUUAAAACUAAUAUUUAUUUAGUAUCUAAUGAUAAAAAUAUAAUAUUGGAAGUACAAUCGUCUGUUAGGUCGAAUGAAGUCUGGCAAUGUUUUUGUUGUUGUACUGAUGAUGGAAAAUAUUUUAUCUUCAAUAAGCAACGCAGAAUUCUUCACCACAACGUUAAAAAGUUUAUCGACUAUGAUAGGAAUAUAGGGGAGAAAACGUCGACUUUCUGAAUCCCAUCAAGAAAAAACAGAUGAUAACUUGGAUAAUAUUCAAAUUAUUGCUGUUGAAAAUAAGAUUGAUUCUAUUGAAUCCAUCAACAUGGAUCAUUCAUAUGCUUUUCCAUCUGAUAUUGUAGUGGCAAAGACCAAGUAUUAUCGUCUUCAAUCUUUGAUAGAAAAAGUACAUCUUAAAGAGAAGAAAGAAGGACGGAAGCUCCAUAAUGCAUGUCUUAAGAAUCAGAAUACAAAAUUAGAA
rnacentral:lncRNA from 1 species